GCAUUCGUGGUGUAAUGGUUAGCACACUCGGCGCGUAUUCGAGAGGUCCGAGGUUCGAGUCCCAGCGAGGGUA
rfam:Stegodyphus mimosarum contig98218, whole genome shotgun sequence.